rnacentral:misc_RNA from 1 species
GAUGAAGAACGUAGUGAAAUGCGAUAAGUAAUGUGAAUUGCAGAAUUCAGUGAAUCAUCGAAUCUUUGAACGCACAUUGCGCCCGCCAGCACUCUGGCGGGCAUGCCUGUCCGAGCGUCAUUUCAACCCUCGAGCACCGCUCGGCGUUGGGGGAGCGGCCCGCGCGCCGCCCCCCGAAAUGCAGUGGCGACCUCGCCGCGUUCCUCCCCUGCGCAGUAGCUCUCAAGAGAACCUCGCAUCGGCGGCGCGGCGGCGGUCACGCCGUGAAACACCCCCCUCAAGAGUUGACCUCGGAUCAGGUAGGGAUACCCGCUGAACUUAAGCAUAUCAAUAAGCGGAGGA